CUAUUUGCUAAUAUUUUGGUGAGGAUUUUGGCGUCUAUGUUCAUCAGUGAUAUUGGCUUCUAAUUUUCUUUCUUGAUAGUUUCUUUGCCUGGUCUUGGUAUCAGGUGAUGGUGGCUUCAUAGAAUAAGUUUGGGAGUAUUACCUCGUUUUAAAUCUUGUGGAAGCAUUUGAGAAUGACUGGUAUGAUUUAAACCACAAACUUUUGGUCAAC